UCCCCAAACAGCUCAGCCGGGAGAGCAAUAGACUCUUCAUCUCAGGGUCGUGGGUUCGAGUCUCACAUGGGCAA